AUGGGGCAGUUGGAAGAAAAUAGAAAUAGUGAAUCAAAAACUAAGCUUUUCAAGAUUACUACUUCCAGUGAGGAGGAGUGUCAUGAGAGCAUGGGAAAAAAAAAAAAAAAGGCUUGCAGAUCCCUAUUUAUGGUGAUGUUAAUCACGACUGUGUUAUCUCCCAGAGCUGCCUCCUUCCCCAGCAUUUCUGCAAGCUUUCACUGCGUUUUUGUGCUACACCAGGGCCCCGGAGCACCCAACGGCGUCGGUCUGCUGCCUCCCACGGCUGCAGCUAUCUGCUCUGCGCACGACAAAUGGCCGGGGCCGUGGCACCUUCAACUUUUGCAGCUGGUUCCUCUUGAACGUCGUCUUGCAGAAAGCAAAAUGUCAAGGAUAAAAGAAAUAAUUGACCAUAGAAAACAAGAAGCUGAAUGUCUGCUGCACAUCACGGAUGUUAAGUGUGGAGCAUCCGGUGUUCAUAGCUGUCCCAUCAUGAAGUGAAAGUGCUGGGGAAGAAGGAAGGCUGCCCUCCUCACCCUCCCCGUGCUGGGGUCACCUUGAUUUGCACUGCAACCAUACCUGGCUGGGCUUAUGGAAGUGGAUGGUUUAGAAAUCCACAUGAAAAAAAAAAAAAAGCUAAACAAACAAACCCACAAAAACAACAACAACAAACACACACACACACACAAAACCAUUAGCUUCACAGAUACAGGAAUAUCAGGGCUUUAGGCAGAGUUGGGACCACCCUGUACACAGAUGAGAUGAAACUGCGUUAGCUCAGCCUGACUAUCAGUUUGUAUACUGUCAUCCAGGCUGGAUAUUUCUAAAGUUUUCAGAGAAAACAGCAUCUUUUCUGGCUACUUGGUGUCCCUCUCAUUCUUAAUAUUUGAACUACACAUUUCUUCAUAUUUGUUAUAAACAGCCCACUUGUUGUUCCUUGUUCCAUAUUCAUGAAGGUGCUUUUUAAUAAUUACUUUUUGUAUUUUUAUUUUUUUAAUGGAAUUAAUGAGUCAGAAAUAGAAAUAAUGAGUCUUGCCUUCUAGUAUAAACAUAUAGAAAUGUGCCUUUCACAGCUGAAAAUUCCUAUUAUCUCACCUGCUAACAAAGGUAUAGUUUCUUCUGAGAUUCUUUGUGCUUGUGAGGACUAUCUAGGCUCUUUGAUAGCAAAGUAAAAUACAAGGUUGUAGCAAAUUAAUAAAUGAGAAGCUUUUUGAAAGAAAACCUAACUC
rnacentral:lncRNA from 1 species